GACGAACGCUGGCGGCGUGCUUAACACAUGCAAGUCGAACGGAAAGGCCCUGCUUUUGUGGGGUGCUCGAGUGGCGAACGGGUGAGUAACACGUGAGUAACCUGCCCUUGACUUUGGGAUAACUUCAGGAAACUGGGGCUAAUACCGGAUAGGAGCUCCUGCUGCAUGGUGGGGGUUGGAAAGUUUCGGCGGUUGGGGAUGGACUCGCGGCUUAUCAGCUUGUUGGUGGGGUAGUGGCUUACCAAGGCUUUGACGGGUAGCCGGCCUGAGAGGGUGACCGGCGACAUGGGGACUGAGAGACGGCCCAGACUCCUACGGGAGGCAGCAGUGGGGAAUAUUGCACAGUGGGCGGAAGCCUGAGGCAGCAACGCCGCGUGCGGGAUGACGGCCUUCGGGUUGUAAACCGCUUUCGCCUGUGACGAAGCGUGGGUGACGGUAAUGGGUAAAGAAGCACCGGCUAACUACGUG
rnacentral:rRNA from 1 species